rnacentral:rRNA from 1 species
GUCUAUGGCCAUACCACCCUGAACGCGCCCGAUCUCGUAUGAUCUGGGAAGCUAAGCAGGGUUGGGCCUGGUUGGGCCUCGUAUGAUCUGGGAAGCUAAGCAGGGUUGGGUC